rnacentral:misc_RNA from 1 species
GGAGUAAUGGCUCUAAUAGUGAGAAAAAUUCUGAGGUACACUCUGGUGGCAGUAAACAAGGGUCAUGUGCGAUUGAUCGUACUCUCUAUGUGGAUAGCGUACAAGUGCGAGAAGCUCCGCAUUCGAAACAGAGCUCUAUAUCAUCCAAUGUAGUGAUGAAUGCAAUGUUAAAACCAACCGCACAUCUGGAAUCCGUUGGUCGGUCUUUGCU